rnacentral:lncRNA from 1 species
GCAAUAACUUUUAUUCCACAAAUAAUUUAUUUUGGUCAGUAACAACACAAAGUUAAAUUACAUAAAUAAAUGCUUAAAAAUCUAUAAUUUAUCACAUUGUGUUUAUUUGGAAUGUAAUAAAAAACUGCAUGUAAAUUAAUCAAAAAGAUUUCUAUGACGGCCAAUAAAAACAGGAAGUAAAAAACAAACUUGAGCAAGUACUAAAAUAACACAGCCACAACCUUCUAAAUAUUGAAUAAUCAGCAAUAAUAAAUCAAAAAUAUGUCAUCAAUAAUAAACCAUUCUUGAAUAACAACAAAACAGUAAAUGUGUGUGAAUUGAAAUUGAAUUUCUGUAGAUGAACCAACUGACAUCUUUAACUAGAACUUUGUAUUAUUUAUUAAACUUGAUAUAAGUAUUGAAUUGUUUUAAUGGUUAAUUCUGAUUUCAAAAAUUUUAAAUCAUUUUUGAAAAUAGUGAAAAAAGAAAUGCAUUAAAGGCAGAUCAAUUUGCAUGAGGAGUUUCUAAUUGCUAACAAUUUCAGUUGUAUUGAGUAUAACUGUAAAAUCCAUUAUUUUGUUUGACCUUUAAUAAAAAUACAUUCUCAAAUUUGAUAUAUCUUUCAGUCAUGAGAUAUUGAAUUAAUCAGAUCUAUAUGCAUGUUGUUGUUAAACCCCUCUGCCAACUCUAGUCUACAGAAACAAAGAUGAAAGCAGAAAUAAAGUCAUUGUGUGACACUACAUCUGUUCUGUAACCUUGAAAUAUUGACAAGGUUAAAUCACACAAAGUUUUAAUAGUUACUACCUCCUUUAAGCCAGACUAAUAAUAUUUACAAACAAUAAAAUCUAACUACAUAAACGGGUUUGAUUAAUCAGCAUAAAGGUACAAUAUUU